rnacentral:rRNA from 1 species
AAUGAACGCUGGCGGCGUGUCUUAAGCAUGCAAGUCGUGCGGCAAGGGUAGCAAUACCCCUAGAGCGGCGGACUGGUGAGUAACGCGUGGGUGAUCUGCCUCCGGGAUGGGGAUAGCCACUAGAAAUAGUGGGUAAUACCGAAUACGUUCACCGAACUGUGGUUUGGUGAGGAAAGGCGCUUCGGCGUCACCCGGAGAUGAGCCCGCGUCCCAUUAGCUAGUUGGUGAGGUAAAAGCCCACCAAGGCGACGAUGGGUAGCCGGCCUGAGAGGGUGGACGGCCACACUGGGACUGAGACACGGCCCAGACUCCUACGGGAGGCAGCAGUAGGGAAUUUUCCGCAAUGGGCGAAAGCCUGACGGAGCAACGCCGCGUGAGGGAAGAAGGUCUUAGGGUUGUAAAGCUCUUUCAGUGGGAAGAUAAUGACGGUACCCACAGAAGAAGCCCCGGCUAACUCCGUGCCAGCAGCCGCGGUAAGAGUACUCUAU